rnacentral:rRNA from 1 species
GUGAACGCUGGCGGUAGGCCUAACACAUGCAAGUCGAACGGCAGCACAGUAAGAGCUUGCUCUUACGGGUGGCGAGUGGCGGACGGGUGAGGAAUACAUCGGAAUCUACUUUUUCGUGGGGGAUAACGUAGGGAAACUUACGCUAAUACCGCAUACGACCUACGGGUGAAAGCAGGGGAUCUUCGGACCUUGCGCGAUUGAAUGAGCCGAUGUCGGAUUAGCUAGUUGGCGGGGUAAAGGCCCACCAAGGCGACGAUCCGUAGCUGGUCUGAGAGGAUGAUCAGCCACACUGGAACUGAGACACGGUCCAGACUCCUACGGGAGGCAGCAGUGGGGAAUAUUGGACAAUGGGCGCAAGCCUGAUCCAGCCAUACCGCGUGGGUGAAGAAGGCCUUCGGGUUGUAAAGCCCUUUUGUUGGGAAAGAAAAGCAGCAGGUUAAUACCCCGCUGUUCUGACGGUACCCAAAGAAUAAGCACCGGCUAA